GAGACGAGUGGCGAACUGGUGAGUAACACGUGGGCCACCUGCCCUUGAAGUAGGGGAUAACACUUGGAAACAGGUGCUAAUACCGUAUAACAACCAGAACCACCUGGUUUUGGUUUAAAAGAUGGCUUCGGCUAUCACUUUAGGAUGGACCCGCGGCGUAUUAGCUUGUUGGUAAGGUAACGGCCUACCAAGGCAAUGAUACGUAGCCGACCUGAGAGGGUAAUCGGCCACAUUGGGACUGAGACACGGCCCAAACUCCUACGGGAGGCAGCAGUAGGGAAUCUUCCACAAUGGACGAAAGUCUGAUGGAGCAACGCCGCGUGAGUGAUGAAGGGUUUCGGCUCGUAAAACUCUGUUGUUGGAGAAGAACAGGUGUGAGAGUAACUGUUCACAUCUUGACGGUAUCCAACCAGAAAGCCACGGCUAACUACGUGCCAGCAGCCGCGGUAAUACGUAGGUGGCAAGCGUUGUCCGGAUUUAUUGGGCGUAAAGCGAGCGCAGGCGGUUUCUUAGGUCUGAUGUGAAAGCCUUCGGCUUAACCGGAGAAGUGCAUCGGAAACCAGGAGACUUGAGUGCAGAAGAGGACAGUGGAACUCCAUGUGUAGCGGUGAAAUGCGUAGAUAUAUGGAAGAACACCAGUGGCGAAGGCGGCUGUCUGGUCUGUAACUGACGCUGAGGCUCGAAAGCAUGGGUAGCGAACAGGAUUAGAUACCCUGGUAGUCCAUGCCGUAAACGAUGAGUGCUAAGUGUUGGAGGGUUUCCGCCCUUCAGUGCUGCAGCUAACGCAUUAAGCACUCCGCCUGGGGAGUACGAC
rnacentral:rRNA from 1 species